UUGAGAUAUGCAAAAACAUUAUUUAUAUGAAAAUGCCAAUAAGAAUAUUGAUGGUAUUGAUUUGAUUGAAAGUUAACAAAAUAAAAUAAUGAAUCGUUAUCAGAAAAGGAAGAAAGGCAUGUCAUAUUUAAAAAAAUUAUAAUGUAUACUUUAUAUUAGUGUAUAAAAAUAUUGGUUUGACAAUGGUGUAAAUAAUUAAAAUUAUUAGUCUCCAGAAUCAUUAAAAUCU